ACUUAUAGAUGGACCUGCGCCGUAUUAGCUAGUUGGUAAGGUAACGGCUUACCAAGGCAACGAUACGUAGCCGACCUGAGAGGGUGAUCGGCCACACUGGAACUGAGACACGGUCCAGACUCCUACGGGAGGCAGCAGUAGGGAAUCUUCCGCAAUGGGCGAAAGCCUGACGGAGCAACGCCGCGUGAGUGAUGAAGGUCUUCGGAUCGUAAAACUCUGUUAUUAGGGAAGAACAAACGUGUAAGUAACUGUGCACGUCUUGACGGUACCUAAUCAGAAAGCCACGGCUAACUACGUGCCAGCAGCCGCGGUAAUACGUAGGUGGCAAGCGUUAUCCGGAAUUAUUGGGCGUAAAGCGCGCGUAGGCGGUUUUUUAAGUCUGAUGUGAAAGCCCACGGCUCAACCGUGGAGGGUCAUUGGAAACUGGAAAACUUGAGUGCAGAAGAGGAAAGUGGAAUUCCAUGUGUAGCGGUGAAAUGCGCAGAGAUAUGGAGGAACACCAGUGGCGAAGGCGACUUUCUGGUCUGUAACUGACGCUGAUGUGCGAAAGCGUGGGGAUCAAACAGGAUUAGAUACCCUGGUAGUCCACGCCGUAAACGAUGAGUGCUAAGUGUUAGGGGGUUUCCGCCCCUUAGUGCUGCAGCUAA
rnacentral:rRNA from 1 species